rnacentral:rRNA from 1 species
GAUGAACGCUGGCGGCGUGCCUAAUACAUGCCAGUCGAGCGAACGGACGCGAAGCUUGCUUCUCUGAUGUUAGCGGCGGAGGGGUGAGUAACACGUGGAUAACCUACCUAUAAGACUGGGAUAACUUCGGGAAACCGGAGCUAAUACCGGAUGAUAUCUUGAACCGCAUGGUUCAAAAGUGAAAGACGGUCUUGCUGUCACUUAUAGAUGGAUACGGGCUGCAUUAGCUAGUUGGUAAGGUAACGGCUUACCAAGGCGACGAUGCGUAGCCGACGUGAGGGGGUGAUCGGCCACACGGGAGCUGGGACAGGGUCCAUACUCCUACGGGAGGCAGCAGAAGGGAAUCGUCGGCAAUGGGCGAAAGCCUGACGGAGCAAUGCCGAGUGUGAGAUGAAGGUCUUCGGAGCGUAAAACUCUGUUAUUGGGGAAGAACAUAUGUGUAAGGAACUGUGCACAGCUUGACGGUACCUAAUCAGAAAGCCACGGCUAACUACGUG